rnacentral:lncRNA from 1 species
AUCACAUAGACUUGUAUUAGGAUAAUUAUACCCUUUGACUGUAGUGAUUUCAUCUUGGCAUAUUUAUCAAAAUGGGUAUUUUCCCUUUCAACUACUCAUCACACGAGCUUUAACCUUCCACCAGUGAUCUGUUGAGGCCGAAUGAUGAGCGGAGGAUAGCGUGUUUGCCUUAUUCUUGCUUCAAGGUGAAGCAGAUUAUUGGUGGCGGGAUUAAGCUCGUCUGAUAUUGCAACCAAUUACAUGGAAAAUGUUUGUGAAUGGCUUGAAUCAUUGAGAUAUCAUUCUAUUAUCUCCGUGUGUUUUCAUAAGCAAAAUUGGGAUGUUAAUAGUGGUGUCGUAGCAGGAAAUUGAACAUGCAUGAUUCCAGCAAGUCCCUUUGAGAUCCCGUCCAGUUGUUGCAGCCCAGAUCCCACCAUCAAAUCAGGUCAAAUUACAAGAUAUACCUACCUUAUGGAUUAACUUUCAUGUCUUUUAGUUUGAGAUCUAGUGAGUACA